rnacentral:rRNA from 1 species
UACGUAGGGGGCAAGCGUUAUCCGGAUUUACUGGGUGUAAAGGGAGCGUAGGCGGCUUAGUAAGUCAGAAGUGAAAGCCCGCAGCUCAACUGCGGGACUGCUUUUGAAACUGUAGAGCUUGAGUGUCGGAGAGGGUGGCGGAAUUCCAGGUGUAGGAGUGAAAUCCGUAGAUAUCUGGAGGAACACCGGUGGCGAAGGCGGCCACCUGGACGACAACUGACGCUGAGGUGCGAAAGCGUGGGUAGCAAACAGG